rnacentral:rRNA from 1 species
GCCCAGCAGCCGCGGUAAGUACGGAGGGGUGCGAGCGUUAAUCGGAAGUUACUGGGCGUAAAGACGCAUGCAGGCGGCCUGUUAAGUCAGAUGUGAAAGACCCGGGGCGUUAACCUCGGAAUUGCAUUUGAAACUGGCAGGCUAGAGUCUUGUAGAGGGGGGUAGGGAAGUUUCUAGGUGUAGCGGUGAAAUAGCGUAGAGAUCUGAAGGAAUACCAGUGGCGAAGGCGGCCCCCCUCGGACAAAGACUGACGCUCAGAUGCGAAAGCGUGGGGAGCAAACAGGAUUAGAUACCCUGGUAG